rnacentral:tRNA from 1 species
AGGAUAAUAGUUAAAUAUAACAUUUGAUUUGCAUUCAAAAAGUAAUGAAUAAAAUUAAUACUUCAUUUUAUCUUA